UCUGACAGUGUGCUUGGUUAUCUAAG
rnacentral:piRNA from 1 species